rnacentral:rRNA from 1 species
ACGCUCGACACCUACGGGGGGCAGCAGUGGGGAAUAUUGCACAAUGGGGGAAACCCUGAUGCAGCGACGCCGCGUGAGCGAAGAAGUAUUUCGGUAUGUAAAGCUCUAUCAGCAGGGAAGAUCAUGACGGUACCUGACUAAGAAGCUCCGGCUAAAUACGCGCCAGCAGCCGCGGUAAUCUGAGCGGGCUGGCAAGGC